rnacentral:rRNA from 1 species
UACGUAGGGUGCGAGCGUUGUCCGGAAUUAUUGGGCGUAAAGAGCUUGUAGGCGGUUUGUCGCGUCUGCCGUGAAAAUCCGGGGCUCAACCCCGGACUUGCAGUGGGUACGGGCAGACUAGAGUGUGGUAGGGGAGACUGGAAUUCCUGGUGUAGCGGUGAAAUGCGCAGAUAUCAGGAGGAACACCGGUGGCGAAGGCGGCAUCCUGGACCAACACUGACGCUGAGGAGCGAAAGCCAGGGGAGCAAACGGG